UAUAAGUAUAAACGAUUCUAUCGUGAAACCGCGAACGGCUCAUUAUAACAGCUAUAAUUUACUUGAUCUUGACUAUCCUACUUGGAUAACUGUGGUAAUUCUAGAGCUAAUACAUGAACCAAAGCUCUGACCUUACGGAAAGAGUGCAUUUAUUAGAACAAAACCAAGCGACUUCGGUCGUUUUUUGUUGACUCAGAAUAACUAAGCUGAUCGCAUGGUCUUGUACCGGCGACGUGUCUUUCAAGUAUCUGCCUUAUCAACUUUCGAUGGUAGUGUAUCUGACUACCAUGGUGGUGACGGGUAACGGAGGAUAAGGGUUUGACUCCGGAGAAGGGGCCUGAGAAAUGGCCACUACGUCUAAGGAUGGCAGCAGGCGCGCAAAUUACCCACUCUCAGAAUGAGGAGGUAGUGACGAAAAAUAACGAGACCGUUCUCUUUGAGGCCGGUCAUCGGAAUGGGUACAAUCUAAACCCUUUAACGAGUAUCUAUGAGAGGGCAAGUCUGGUGCCAGCAGCCGCGGUAAUUCCAGCUCUCAAAAUGCAUAGAAUUAUUGCUGCGGUUAAAAAGCUCGUAGUUGGAUCUGUGCUGAGGACCUGGUCCAUCUUCGGAUGCGUACUUGGCUCCACGGCUUUUUCUGCCGGUUUUCCCGUCAUGGUCUUUAUUGAUUGUGGCGGGUGGCUGGUGAUUUUACUUUGAACAAAUCAGAGUGCUUCAAACAGGCGUUUAGCUUGAAUGUUUUUGCAUGGAAUAAUAGAAGAGGAUUUCGGUUCUAUUUUAUUGGUUUUAUAGACUGAGAUAAUGGUUAACAGAGACCAACGGGGGCAUUCGUACCGCUGCGUGAGAGGUGAAAUUCUUGGACCGCAGCGAGACGAACUACAGCGAAAGCAUUUGCCAAGAAGGUCUUCAUUAAUCAAGAACGAAAGUCAGAGGUUCGAAGGCGAUCAGAUACCGCCCUAGUUCUGACCGUAAACGAUGCCAACUAGCGAUCUGCCGGCGGAAUUUUCGCCCUGGUAGGGAGCUUCCCGGAAACGAAAGUCUACCGGUUCCGGGGGAAGUAUGGUUGCAAAGCUGAAACUUAAAGGAAUUGACGGAAGGGCACCACCAGGAGUGGAGCCUGCGGCUUAAUUUGACUCAACACGGGGAAACUCACCCGGCCCGGACACCAUAAGGAUUGACAGAUUGAUAGCUUUUUCAUGAUUUGGUGGAUGGUGGUGCAUGGCCGUUCUUAGUUCGUGGAGCGAUUUGUCUGGUUUAUUCCGAUAACGAGCGAGACUCUAGCCUACUAAAUAGUCUGCACAUUGCUUACUGUGAUGCAGUACUUCUUAGAGGGAUUUUCGGUGUACAGCCGCACGAGAUUGAGCAAUAACAGGUCUGUGAUGCCCUUAGAUGUCCGGGGCUGCACGCGCGCUACACUGGCGAAAUCAGCGUGCUUGUCCUAGCUCGAAAGAGCUUGGUAAACCAAUGAAAAUUUGCCGUGAUUGGGAUCGGAAAUUGCAAUUAUUUUCCGUGAACGAGGAAUUCCAAGUAAAUGCGAGUCAUCAACUCGCGUUGAUUACGUCCCUGCCCUUUGUACACACCGCCCGUCGCUGCCCGGGACUGAGCCAUUUCGAGAAAUUUGGGGAUUGCUGAUUAGCGGUCUUUCGGGAUUGCUUUUUGGUGAGAACCAAUUUAAUCGCAGUGGCUUGAACCGGGCAAAAGUCGUAACAAGGUGGCUGUAG
rnacentral:rRNA from 1 species